UACAGAGGUCUCAAGCGUUGUUCGGAUUCAUUGGGCGUAAAGGGUGCGUAGGCGGCGCGGUAAGUCGGGUGUGAAAUCUCGGAGCUUAACUCCGAACUGCAUUCGAUACUGCCGUGCUUGAGGACUGGAGAGGAGACUGGAAUUUACGGUGUAGCGGUGAAAUGCGUAGAUAUCGUAAGGAAGACCAGUGGCGAAGGCGGGUCUCUGGACAGUUC
rnacentral:rRNA from 1 species